CUUUGUAUCCCGGAUCCUGAUAUUCCUCUUCGCAAACGAUGAGCCAUCAGUGGCGAAGAGGAAUAUCAAGACCCGGGAUAUAUAUGU
rnacentral:pre_miRNA from 1 species